rnacentral:rRNA from 1 species
AAUUAUUGGGCGUAAAGGGUAGGUAGGUGGUUACGUAUGUCUGAAGUGAAAGCCCUGGGCUUAACCAGGAAGUGCUUUGGAAACGGCGUAACUAGAGUUCUGGAGAGGUUCGUGGAAUUCCCAGUGUAGCGGUGAAAUGCGUAGAGAUUGGGAGGAACAUCAGAGGCGAAGGCGACGAACUGGACAGAUACUGACACUGAACUACGAAAGCGUGGGUAGCAAACAGGAUUAGAUACCCCUGGUAGUCCACGCCCUAAACGAUGUCUACUAGUUGUUGGGGUAGCAAUACCUCAGUGACGCAGCUAACGCGUGAAGUAGACCGCCUGGGGAGUACGGUCGCAAGAUUAAAACUCAAAGGAAUUGACGGGGGCCCGCACAAGCGGUGGAUUAUGUGGAUUAAUUCGAUGCAACGCGAAAAACCUUACCUGGCCUUGACAUGCCACUAACGAAGCAGAGAUGCAUUAGGUGCCCGAAAGGGAAAGUGGACACAGGUGCUGCAUGGCUGUCGUCAGCUCGUGUCGUGAGAU